UAUGGAGCAGUUAUAUGGUAGAGUCAAC
rnacentral:piRNA from 1 species